rnacentral:rRNA from 1 species
GACGAACGCUGGCGGCGUGCUUAACACAUGCAAGUCGAACGGAAAGGCCCUGCUUUUGUGGGGUGCUCGAGUGGCGAACGGGUGAGUAACACGUGUGUAACCUGCCCUUGUCUUUGUGAUAACUUUAGGAAACUGGGGCUAAUAUCCGAUAUGAUCUCCUGCUGCAUGGUGGGGGUUGGAAAGUUUCGGCGGUUGUGGAUCGUCUCGCGGCUUAUCGGCUUGUUGGUCGAGUAGUGGCUUACCAAGGCUUUGACGGGUAGCCGGCCUGGGAGGGUGGACAGCGACAAGAGGCCUGCGAGACGGACCAGAAUCCAACGGGAGGCAGCAGUGGGAAAUAUGACACAACGAGGGGAAGCCAGAUGUAGAAACGCUGCGUGCGGAAUAACGGGCUACGAGUUGAAAACAGAUUUGGAAUGAAACGAGGAGUGAGUGACGGUAAUGGAUAAAGAAGCACCGGCUAACUACGUG